rnacentral:rRNA from 1 species
GACGAACGCUGGCGGCGUGCUUAACACAUGCAAGUCGAACGGAAAGGCCCUGAUUUUGUGGGGUGCUCGAGUGGCGAACGGGUGAGUAAAACGUGAGUAACCUGCCCUUGACUUUGGGAUAACUUCAGGAAAAUGGGGAUAAUACAGGAUAGGAGCUCCUGCUGCAUGGUGGGGGUUGGAAAGUUUCGGCGGUUGGGGAUGGACUCGCGGCUUAUCAGCUGGUUGGUGGGGUAGUGGCUUACCAAGGCUUUGAAGGGUAGCCGGCCUGAGAGGGUGACCGGCCACAUUGGGACUGAGAUACGGCCCAGACUCCUACGGGAGGCAGCAGGGGGGAAUAUUGCACAAUGGGCGGAAGCCAGAGGCAGCAACGCCGCGUGCGGGAUGACGGCUUUCGGGUUGUAAACCGCUUUCGCCUGUGACGAAGCGUGAGUGACGGUAAUUGGUAAAGAAGCACCGGCUAACUACGUG